GUUUGGCUCAGUUGGUAAGAGAACGGGAUUCUUAAUCUCAGGGUUGUGGGUUUGAACCCCACGGUGGAUA